UACGUAGGGUGCGAGCGUGUCCGGGAAUUAUUGGGCGUAAAGAGCUCGUAGGCGGUCUGUCGCGUCGAAACUGUGAAAACCCGGGGCUCAACUCCGGGCUGCAUUCGAUACGGGCAGGCUAGAGUUCGGUAGGGGAGUCUGGAAUUCCUGGUGUAGCGGUGAAAUGCGCAGAUAUCAGGAGGAACACCGGUGGCGAAGGCGGGACUCUGGGCCGAUACUGACGCUGAGGAGCGAAAGCGUGGGGAGCGAACGGG
rnacentral:rRNA from 1 species